rnacentral:rRNA from 1 species
AUUGAACGCUGGCGGCAUGCUUUACACAUGCAAGUCGAACGGCAGCGCGGACUUCGGUCUGGCGGCGAGUGGCGAACGGGUGAGUAAUAUAUCGGAACGUACCCAGAAGUGGGGAUAACGUAGCGAAAGUUACGCUAAUACCGCAUACGAUCUACGGAUGAAAGUGGGGGACCUUCGGGCCUCAUGCUUUUGGAGCGGCCGAUAUCUGAUUAGCUAGUUGGUGAGGUAAAGGCUCACCAAGGCGACGAUCAGUAGCUGGUCUGAGAGGACGACCAGCCACACUGGGACUGAGACACGGCCCAGACUCCUACGGGAGGCAGCAGUGGGGAAUUUUGGACAAUGGGGGCAACCCUGAUCCAGCAAUGCCGCGUGAGGGAUGAAGGUCUUUGGAUUGUAAACCUCUGUCACUGGGGAAGAAACGCUUCAAGUUAACAGCUUGAAGCCUGACUUAACCCGGAGAGGAAGCAGUGGCUAACUCUGUGCCAGCAGCCGCGGUAAUC